rnacentral:rRNA from 1 species
UACGUAGGGUGCAAGCGUUGUCCGGAAUUAUUGGGCGUAAAGCGCACGUAGGCGGCGAUUCAAGUCAGAGGUGAAAGCCCGGGGCUCAACCCCCGGAACUGCCUUUGAAACUAGAUUGCUAGAAUCCUGGAGAGGUGAGUGGAAUUCCGAGUGUAGAGGUGAAAUUCGUAGAUAUUCGGAAGAACACCAGUGGCGAAGGCGACUCACUGGACAGGUAUUGACGCUGAGGUGCGAAAGCGUGGGGGAGCAAACAGGG